ACGGAAGGCAGCAGUGAGGAAUAUUGGUCAAUGGGCGGAAGCCUGAACCAGCCAAGUCGCGUGAAGGAUGAAGGUAUUAUGUAUUGUAAACUUCUUUAGACGUAGAGAAAUAAGCCCCUCGUGAGGGGUGAUGCUAGUAUACGUAGAAUAAGGAUCGGCUAACUCCGUGCCAGCAGCCGCGGUAAUACGGAGGAUCCGAGCGUUAUCCGGAUUUAUUGGGUUUAAAGGGUGCGCAGGCGGCUUUUUAAGUCAGUGGUUAAAUCGUGGAGCUUAACUCCAUCCCGCCAUUGAUACUGGAGAGCUUGAUUGCGGUUGAGGUUGGCGGAAUUCGCCGUGUAGCGGUGAAAUGCAUAGAUAUGGCGAAGAACUCCGAUUGCGUAGGCAGCUGACCAAGCCGUAAAUGACGCUCAUGCACGAAAGUGCGGGGAUCGAACAGGAUUAGAUACCCUGGUA
rnacentral:rRNA from 1 species